rnacentral:rRNA from 1 species
UUUAUGGAGAGUUUGAUCCUGGCUCAGGAUGAACGCUGGCGGCGUGCCUAAUACAUGCAAGUCGAGCGAACAGAUAAGGAGCUUGCUCCUUUGACGUUAGCGGCGGACGGGUGAGUAACACGUGGGUAACCUACCUAUAAGACUGGAAUAACUCCGGGAAACCGGGGCUAAUGCCGGAUAACAUGUUGAACCGCAUGGUUCUACAGUGAAAGACGGUCUUGCUGUCACUUAUAGAUGGACCCGCGCCGUAUUAGCUAGUUGGUGGGGUAACGGCCUACCAAGGCGACGAUACGUAGCCGACCUGAGAGGGUGAUCGGCCACACUGGAACUGAGACACGGUCCAGACUCCUACGGGAGGCAGCAGUAGGGAAUCUUCCGCAAUGGGCGAAAGCCUGACGGAGCAACGCCGCGU